AAUGAUCGAUUGCCGACGUUAUAUCGAAUUCACGGCCUGUUCGGUCCAAUUUCCAAACGGGAUUUCACCAACCAUAGGAAUACACGAGACGCUCGACGACGUGCGCAACCGUUCGUAUGAACCGGAUAUUGUUCAUAGCGGGGCAAAACGUGAUGCUGCCCGCGUAUAGAGGGUUUUUUGUGACGCACAAAAAACAAUGACUGCACUCGAAUUAAUUCUGUUAGAAUUGAUACUCGGCCCCGGCACUGGGAUCGCAAUUUGCAUGCGUUCACAACAAUGAAAUACAACGGCGCACGCGGGGUGAGCUGUAAUACUAUCGCGAGGAGGAGGAGGAGGAGGAGGGGAAAAAGGGGGAGAAAAACGGUAGGAGGAGAAAAGCAAAGCCAACAAUCACCCUGAGCAGUGGCUCUCAAAGCUUUUAACGGUUUCGAUGCAACAAGGCAAUUUUUGGGAAGAAUGUUUUUCAAUCGAAUUGAGUGAAUGCAAAAGAGCAUCAAUAUUUUUAAAGUAUAAAAAAAAAAUAUGUGACCCUUCAGAAAACCGAGAUAUUUCUCAAUAACAGAAAUUAAUAGAAUAAUUACUCUCUUAAUGAUAGAUAACAUUUUCAGCGUAUAAAAUUCUAAAUCUUAUCUACAAAUGAAAAUGAGAUGUCAAAGGAUCUUUCAUACUUUAGAUUUUUUCUUUAGAAAAUUAGGAAAUGAUUUGAGAAAACCCACACACCCAAACUGUUUCAAUAAGAAUUUAAGAAAAUAAAAAUAUUCUAUUAUAAAAUGUUUCUAUCAUUCUGAGAAGAAUCUACUAUGCUACCAAAGUUUUGAUCGAAUAUAUACAGAUAAAAGAUAUUUUUUGAUUAAAUAUUAUGAGUAUAAGUUGCUUGAGUCACGAAUAAUUAUGUAGCUCGAAUGCAGCUGCGGAAUUUUCUGAAACGCAGCGAUUAAUUUUUUAUGCUCUCAAUCUGCCAUGUCGGUUGAUAAGAGAGCGUGCGUUUUGCGCAACCUUCGCAUCACGCUCUGCAGAUGUUCGGUCUUGGGUUUGAUUUAAUACGAUCUCUGAACCAGAUUGCUGCGGAUCUACAAUCCAGUGGACGAUGAUGUCAACGAAAGCAUAAGCUCGUUAAUGUGUUUUUGAUUAGAAUCUUCUGCGAAGAGAUAUUUUUUCUUGCCCUCUUGUCUUUGAACUAACAGAUUCUCAGGAAAUUCGCAUUUAGUUAUUAAGUAUUAUACAUCGAUUUUUCAACAAUGAUUUUGCACAAUUAUUUAUAAAAUUUCACAAUAUAAUUUCGCAUUUCUAUUAUAUAAUAUAUAUGCUAGCAUAAUUAUUAAAAAAUUAACAAUUUCUAAUACACGUAUCUAAUACAUAUUUAUAAAUAAUUUUAUGCAAAAUAUUUUUUUAGGAUAUAGGAAAGAUGUUUUAUUGCAUUUGCAUAAGAAACACACCUUCUGUAAUAAUUAUAUUUUUGCAAAUGUCACGAAGCUGCUUGAAAUAUCAGUAGACGAGUCACAGUAAGAUACAUAAUCGCAGAAAGUUAUCUGCGAUUUAUGCUUGAACAAUUUUUUAAUUGUAUUCUUAUCUCGCAACGAGCGAGGCUUAUAAAACGAGACAUAUAUAUAUAUACAUAUAUAUGUACAAAGACAUGCAAUAUUUGAAUCGGAUGAUUUAUAAGAAAAUGUUGAGUAAUUCUUCGGACGAAUCAUUUUAUAAAUUAUAUUGAGUGUGAAACAAAAGAAAAGCCGAAUUACUACAGACUGUAUAAGAUAGCAAUAAUAAUUAUCAAAGGGAUUUUUCCUUGAGUCAUAUCGUUUUCCAGCAAUGUCUAAUAAUUUUUCCUCUAUACUUGAAUAUAAUACCUCGCGGGCAAGCAUUUAAAGCUUCCUUCGUGCAGUUUUCCAUUACACAUGACACACAUGGCAUGUGAACAAAUUGCACGUUUAGAACUUUCCACUCGAUAUUGUGAUUAAUAUUUUCAAAUGAAACGCGUUAUUAUGCUACACGUAUAUUUGAUUCACGAUAGUGUGUGGCUAUCUAAUUGUGCAAUUGUAUAAUUCAUUUCGUCAAGUAUUUUCCUUGUCAAACGUUACUUUUUUUGUGAUUAUCUUCAGAUUUAUAAAUUUCCGAUUCAUCAUUAAUCCAUUAUUUUUUUUCAUAGGCCUGUGACAUUUUUUUAUUAUUAUGCGCAAAAUAAGCAUGAUAAAGCAUAAAUAUUCUACGAACGUAUUGGCGAUUAUAAUAUAGAAAACUGUGCAAAGCGAAAUGUCAUUGUCGGCUAAAUUUAAAUCGCGAAAGUCGGACAUUGCACCCAGCGUAAGUGCAAACGCGAUAAUCCGUCGACUUCGAUUUCGACAGAUAUUUUCGUCCGUGCAAAUGCGGAAUUAGAACACGAUCGCGAAAGUGCCACUUUUACACAUACCCAUUAAACAUCAAAUAAAAGACAAAUGCUUAAAUAUUUAAGAAUUUUGAUUUCAUCUUAUCAUAAUUUUUAUAUGUUAGAGAAUUAAUAUCAUAAUAUUAAUACUACAAAAUCAUCGCAAAAAUAUACUAAGUUUUAAUUAAAUAAAACAAUUUUUAAAUAAAACUAAUUAUAUUAAUUUUUAACAAUUUUUUGUUUUAGAUUCAUAUAAGUUAUACAUCAACUAUAUUUCUUCUCUAAAAUAUGUUUAGAAUCUUUCAAGAUUUUUAUAUACGAUUACUUUAUAAAAUUAAUAUAAAACUCAGCUCUCUUCUUUUUCUCUUAUCGCUUCUCUUUUUUGCCAUCAUCUCUCUUACAUGUCGAAUUCCGCAGAUUUAAAGAAUUAGGAAAAAGCAUAUGUGUUUGAAAAAUGUUUACAGUUUCCUAAUAAUACAGAUUCUAAUGAGCGAUUGCGCGCAUUUCAAAGGGUGGUUUUAGUUGUGGGAUCUGCAUACUAACAAAUGAAUAUGCUUGAACAACGAGCAAACGAGUCUCGCGGAGAGCACGUGGCAGCUCGCAAAAGGCUUACGUCUCCAUGUGUGCGUGUCAUGAGUUCGUCGGUCACACCACCGUCGUGGCCGCAAUUAAGGCGAGCAAUGCCACAUGCAAAUGGUCGCAUUGUCUUGACCCAAAGUGGCGCGAUCUCAGUCGGCUCAUUGUGCUUUCACGGACAACUUGCAUGACAGGGAGAGCAGCACAGCGUCGCAAAAAUCGCAGCUCGCUCAUUUGCAUCGGAUGUACAAUACACGCGCCGAUCGAAAACGCAAACAAUUUUCCAUUAAAUGGAUUUCCAUUCCUUCUAAGAAAAUUGGAUAAAUGCACCGAAAAUAACUCAAGAGUUAAUCGAGAGUACGUGCAAAUAUAAAUCGAGCUCAAGACGAUCGGAAAAAUGUUCUAAAUACGACUAUUGACUCAAUUUACGGUAUUCCAAGAGUUAAUGAAUCUAUUGUAUUUAAUGGAUAUAUAAAUUAAGAGUACUAGUUUUUGGAAUUAUAUAAUGAUUUGCAUUUAUCGGAUUAAAAAAAAUAAAAGAAAAUUUUUUUAUUUUGGUUUUCUAAAUUAGCAAUGUUGAAAUGUUUUUGCUUAGCUUUUUAUAUUAAUUGCAAACUUAUUUUUUAUUAUAAAAUUUAAAAAUUGGAUAAUAUCGAUUAUGAAAUGUGUAAAUCUAGCAAUAUGAUAAAAUAUAAUAAUGAUAUAUAAUGACAUAAAUAAGAUGUUAAUCACAAACAUUUUAUAAAAAAGACAAAAUUUUAAAUAUGUAGUUUCGAAAUGUUUUCUAUCAUUAUAUGAAUAUGAUUAUAUAAUGUACUCAAGAGCAAAUCUAAUAAUUAUUUUCAAUAAAUAAAAAAUAUGCUGAAUUAGCGUGUUCAAAUUCUGUAUAGUUAUGUCUAUUUAUCUAUUCUUCAACAACCUCAUUAUCUUUUGGUAUAUUUGCAAAAACAGAUUGUGCUCGAUACAUCAACAAAAUAGCAUCCGUAAUGACACGUUAUCUCUGUUCUAUUCUUAUAUUCUUCAAUCCGAUAUGCAAUCACUCGCGAUGCAAUGCAAUGAGUGCGCAUAUAGCGAAGAUUACGCAAGCAACCGAAGUAAAUCUCCAAGAUUCGAUGCAAAAGUCACGUUUUCAUGACGUUUCCCCGCCCCGCAGCUCAGACACUUGUGCGCGAGUAAUUAAUUAAUACGCGUUACGCAACGCGUGGGCGAUGCCUACGCUCGUUUCCGUUGAAUUUUGAUCGUCUUUUAAUCGCAUGCGCAAAAAUUCACCCGCGACGCGCAAUCAACGACAUAUCUCGACAUGAGUACGAGAUACCGUCCGCGCGUUCGCUCGUUAUCGUGGCCACGUGUCGAUCCUGAUGCAUUGUUCUUGCACAAGGUGGAUUAGUCUCACGGCACCCGGGAAUGGCAGCGUUAAUUAAAACGAUACCUCCGCAUCACGUCGACGGGAAUUCGAACCUCGCACAUUUCCACGAAUCAACACUUAACCAGAAGAGCGUGGAGAUCGCGAGCCGCCGAAGAACGGCAUAAAGAAGGUCGGCUUCAUCGGAAGCGGUCCGCAAGAAGGAACGUUACGGUAUUCCGCGACCAGAUCUCGAAGAAAAGGGAACCUAUUGGGCCAGCCAGCCGUCUUGAAUGCUCGUUUUGGUCAACGGAGGUUCAUUCUCAUGCAACUUUAACCACGGGACUUACUUGGAAGCAUGGUACACGCGUCCGGUACCUGCGCGUACCUGCCACCGAAUACCGGUCAAACGACAUCGGCAGUGGGAGAAAAACAAACUCCCCGAGUCAGAUGAUCAAUUGCCGUGGCGUCAAUCGCCUGAGCCAUCGAUCACCCGUGACCUCGCGUCAUCCACGUUGCUGUCGGAGAGAUCUGCGCACUCACUUCCGGUACCGGUAUCGCUGGCGUACGGAUCUCCUCCGAGCGGGAGACGUGUCGCCUUGGAAGCGAUGCAUCGCGCCGAGGAGAAAACGAUCGCGCGCCAGCUGGCUCUUGGAUCGGAUAAGAGAACGGAACCUCCUCCGUCUAGCCGCCUAAAACGGGGCGGAUCUUCUUCGAAGCGACAUGCACGGUGCUACUUUUAAACGAUUUCCGCGGGAGACAGCGUUGAUGUCAUGUGAGACUGAAUGAGGGAGGAGGGAGAUAAUUUGCACGCCCGCGCACGUGAUUCGCAAGAAUGGAUGUCCGCGCUCGAUUAACUUGACACGGGUGUUGCGAUAUCGCUAUUAAUUUGCAAUGAAAUAACUCCGUGCGGCGCUUGUUCGCCGGGAAUAACUAACGCUCGCUCUUUCAGCGCUGGAAAUAGAAAGCGUUCCAGAGCUGCUAAUUGCGUGUUACGCAAUUCGAUUUAGAAGCACCGUGAAUUCUAGCAGAAACGCAUAAUCGGUAGAGAUAGCCAUCGGAUAGUAGGAUUAAAAAAAUAGCUUCCUCGACAGGAAGUUCGAUCAAUCAGCCAACGUCGGCGUGCACCGCGCGUUACUAGGAUCCCGUGAUACGAAACAGGGUUUGAUAUAGUGGAAGGAAGGUGGUGCAAUGUCUUGCAGCUGACCUACUUUGCCGCAGCGUGCUGUGUGGUAUAUAUCGGUGAAGAAACGACGGAAUGCUACCAAUGCUACACAGGGACUUUCACUCGGAAGGCUCGCUCGUUCCUGGAACACAACCGGGACCGCUAUGGCGAUCGAUUGUUUUCGAAAGGUCGCCGUCCGGUCCUCCAUUAGCGAGUUUCCAUCAGGUUCCUCUCUUUCGUAAUAACGAAAAAGGUCAUGAUGGUACGCCGCCUUUCGUGAUUUCGGACACGAUAUGAUGAGCAUAAAGUCAUACGCAAGCGCGCUAUACCGAGCGAUUUGAUUAAACGAUUUAAAUUUAAUCGAAUGUUUUUGUAUCAAGGGAAAAUUGGAAAAACAUUUAAUAUUCUUCCGUAUUAUAAAAAUUUAUCAUUUAUGUAACACGUCUUCAAUAAAAAAUUCUUUUUUACUUCAUCUGAGUUUGAAUAUCAGAAAAUAUUUUGCUUAUAGUAUAAUAAAAAAUUAUAAUUACUAUUAUUAUUAAAAAAAUUGUAAUUACUUCUUUAUCCAACAAAAUUUUAAAAAUACAUUCUCAAUUUAAUAAUCAACAUAUUUAUUAAGUUGCUCUUCUUUUGCUUUUUGGUUUUGAUUAAAGUAAGUUUUGUAUUACUUAUUGUUAGUAUCAAAGAUUAUGUUUU